rnacentral:lncRNA from 1 species
AAACAAACAAUAUUAGCUUGUACUGUGGUACCUCUGUACCCAAGUAGGCUUGAUUCCAGGUACCUGUUAGGAUAUUAGAAUCCAAGGAUGUUCAAGGUGAACUCACAGAAGAGAGUGGAGCUGUGGUUCCCAAGGACGGGUGCGGGCAGAGGGAUACUCCAGCAAUGCCCAAGCCCCCCAGAGUGGCCGGGUUCCUUCUGACGGACUUCAGGAAGAUGUGGAGAGACGGAGAGACGUCUCCUGGUGGGACCUACAGACCCCAGGACUAGAGGACACCAGUUCUUGUUUGCACCACCACGCCUGCACCUCCAGGCAAACAGAAAUAAAAUAUCACCAGG